GCCGGCAUGGUGUAGUGGUUUGAGUGUUGGACAAUUAUUCUGGAGACAAGGGUUCAAUUCCCUAUUCAGUCA